rnacentral:SRP_RNA from 1 species
GCUGGGCAUGGUGACUCAUGCCUGUAAUCCCAGCACUUUGGGAGGCCGAGGCAGGAGGAUCACUUGAGCCCAGGAGUUCAAGACCAGCCUAGGCAACAUAGUGAGACCCUGUCUCUA